CCUAAUCAAUUUCAUCUUCACCUCUUUCUCUCACAAUAGUCGGAAGCAAAAGUUGGAGACCAUCGUAAUGGCGAAGCAGGCUGUGGCUAUGACGUUGUUACAGUGGCUUGAGCGUCACUGCACUGUGUGGAGGGCGUAGGGGCAAUGACGUUGCGGUGAGCAGAGUGAGCGCAGUUUUCGCGAUUUGGGGAAAAUCUGGUGAAGGCGCGAUCUGGGACGAAUUUUAUUUUUUUGGGUUUUUGUGAAGGUUUAGGAAGGUGAUCAGGCAGUGGCGAAGGCGUCGCGCGGCGGAGAUGUUGCGGUGGUGGAGCUUAGAUGACACGGUGUGGUGGUGUGUUGUGUGGUCAGUACGGUGAUAGUAUUUGCGGCUAUUGAUGGUGAUGCAGAUGAUGAUAGUAGUUUUGGGUGGUGAUCGUUGUUGCACGAAUCAGGCUGUGGCAAUGCGAUCGCACGCGACGAAGAUGGUAUAGUGGUGGGUUCAAAAGAUGUGGUAUGGUGGUGUGCCGUGUGGUCGAUACGAUGAUGGUGUUUACAGUUGGUGGUGGUGGUGACGAUGGAGUAGAGGUUGGGUGAUACAACUUGUUGUUUAGUUGGUGCGGUGCUGGUACAGGUGGUUGAUGGCAAUGAAGCAUGGUUUUAGUUGUUGGAGUGGUGGUGGUGACAACUUCCACAUUUUGGCAGUGGCGGGCAAUGGACGAUUGUAAAAUUUCAAUCUGGCGACAGCGGUGAGGGGGUUGUCAAAAGUGUUGGCGAUGGUCACGAAUGAUUUGAUUGAUUGUGACUAUUAAAUUGAUUAAUUUGUGAUCAAUAAAUAAUAUGUGAUCAGUGACAGCAAUAAAUUGUGAUCAAGGAUAUAAUGUGUGACCUA
rnacentral:lncRNA from 1 species